GACGGAUCCAAUCCCUGCUCGGAGGCUUUGCUUCAGGUUUCAGCUCCUCCCGCUGGAGACAGCUGUGAACAGAGGAGCUAGUCUGUUGUCAGAGCACAUUAUCCUGCUGCAAAGUGAGAAUGGAAGAAUUAUCUGUGUUUUUGGAGCAUGGAUACAUACUAUGCGAAGAGGAAAUCUGAGCUGAGACCUGGAAAUGCCAUUCUACCUACAUAAGAUACUCUUAUCAGGUGACAACUGUUAUGCCAAAUGCACCAUAUUUGCAUGAAAAUGCAACUAAGUCUCAGGCUGUAUGUCUGUGGUAACCAGAAAAGCAUGAAAACCCAUUUCUUAACUUAGAGGUCCCAUUAAACAAACGAGACAUGACAGUGUUUGAUUUCAUUCGAAAAUCAGAAAGAGAACAAAAACCUAAGAUAUUGGAAGAUUGCCCUUAGGAUUUAGAAGUGGAAAGAGGAGACAAUAGGUAGAUUUAUGCCUUUAAAUCAACUUUCUGCUUGUUUCUUCCUAAGCUUGUAUGGCAUUUUAUGAUUUAGAACACUUUUUAACUUGUUUGCAAAUUGAACAUCAUUUUAAAAAGGAUGAGUUGUCUAUAAUAAAAAUCAAUGCAGAUAUUGAAUUGAAGUAAUGGAAAAGAUCCACUUUGGUAAAUAUCAAAUGAUUUCAAAGACAGCUUGGCAAGAAAUAUGAAUGAAAGGAUUUCAACUUGUUUACAGAGGCGUGGGUAGCACAAGCAGUUUAACUGUUCUAUGUGAAGAAUGGAAGAAAUUGUUUCUGUCCCCCACUCCCCUCCCCUUUGAUCUUUUCAUAAUCUAAAAUGUGUUCACUCUAUAUGCAUUUGCAAGGAGGCUGCACUGUUGCUGAAGUCUCUUCUUCUAUUAAAAUCUGUAAUUAAAAUAGAGUUGCAUCAGUGUUAGCUAAUGAGAGUGUGUCUUGUCUCUCAGGCGAGCUCUCGCCAGAGCAUGAAGGCUCCAGGGCACUGUGCUCCAGAGGACAGUAAGUGGCUGCCAAGCUAUCUGGAAAUCCAAAUUUUGUCAUGUGGGAAAUUCUGACAUUCUGUAAUGUUUUCAUUCUAAAUAAUAAAACUUUAAGUCUCUCUCAGGAGAUAAAUUUCCCAGAGAAUUUGGAUCUGGAAACAUCAAAAUGAUCAUGCUAAAAUGUUUCCUUCUUCCUAGUUAUGUACAAAUGCUUAAUUCUGGUAAUGCCUGCUGUAAGGACACUAACACUGAAUUUUCACCUACAAUAUGAAAUGUAAGAUUUCAGAUGGAACUGCAGAGAUAAAUCAAUACUAAACAUAGUUUGAGUUUGAGUAAGCCUGCUAAUUUCCCACCAGAAGCAUACUCAAAGUGAACACUUUAUUUUUUGACCAAACAUUUUGCAAUAGACAGUUGUGCUGUAAAAAUAAACAUUUAAAUAGUUCUGUUUGUUAUUUCUUAAUUUCAGUCUCAUAUUACACAAGUCAGCACUAUGAAAAGCGCUAUUACUUCAGCAUACAGGAGUUAAUAUCUGUUGUCUUCACUUGUUAUUGUAUUUUCUUUUUUAAUAAAAAAGAAAACUCAAAAACUAAAUACAAUCAAAAUUCAAACUGCCUUUAAACCACCAGAACAAUUACAAAGUCAUGCAGCAUAUAAGUGAUUUACACUAAACAGAAUCAUUCUAGGAUAAAGUUCAAUGUAUUUUAUAUCCACCAUCAACCUUAAUGUAUGGGCCAUGGUGCUUCUCUGCUCCCACAGCUCAUCUAUAUAAUUUUUUUUAAUGUUGAAGCUAGUUCAUCACUAUAAUUAUGAUUUAGAGUUUUUUUUUUUUUUUUUUGAUGUUGUUGUUUUUGUUUUGUUUUAUUUUGUUUUGUUUUGAAAGAACAUAAGGGACAAACAACUGUCCCUUACACCUUUUGUCAGGAACAUGAGAUUUUUCCUGACUCUUCUCUCCCUGAUUCUGGAUUUUAUCUAUCCUAGCUCCAGAGGGAAAUCUUUGCCCUUUCAGAGAUGAGCAGGAAAAUCAGCCAGUUACCAAAGCUCUGCUGGUGUUUAUAACGUAUGUGGUGUCUACAGAAGAAUGAAACAAAAAACAUGCAUGAGCACAACAGAACACAAAAGCAUAUGGUAUUCAGAUUGAAGAUAAGGGAGUUGAUGAUGAGAGCUUCAUUAAUGCUAAUAAGAAGAGUGUAACUGCAUUGCCGCAUGUUGUGUUGCAUAUGUAUGCUUUGGAGGCAAAUAAACCUCAUUUCAAAUCUAAUGAGUACAGUACAGUCCUCAGUUUGACAUAACAAAAGUUAUUCCAUUGCUCAAAUUAUAUUUGUUACUGCAAUUAUUUUGUUAUUAUUGUUGUUUUUGUUAAAAAGUUUGGUAGAGAUUUAAAGGGAAAAAAAAAGGGGAGACAAAGAGAUAAAAUACAAGGGGAUCAUAUAUUAUUAUGUUUUCAAAUAUUGAAGUUCAGGAAAUACUAACGUUACCAGCAGUAUGUUAAUAGUAACAAAUAGAAACAGUUGGCAAAUUUUAGCUGCAAUUUCUCUUGAGAAAGGAGAAGUUUUUAUCUCCUGUAAGGGACACAUGCAGUGUUUAGUAAAAUUCUGGUUGGGUACACAGUAGGGAAGAAGCUGUGACAUAUUCUUACAUGUCAUUAUAUUUUAAAAUAUGGUGUGGGUUAGUACUUUAGAGAGCAGCAACUUGGCUGUACAAGGACCCUCAGGCUCAAAUUUGGCAGUGAGGGAAUCAAAGCCUUUACCCACUAAAUAGGUAUAUAAGUAGAUAAUAUGCAGUCAUUCACCAUAUCUACUAAUGAAAAUUAUUGAUUUCCUGUUUAAACUAAUAAAUCAACUAUACAUCCCUAUUAAUUGGUUUAUUAUCCAAGAACUCUAAUAGUAAUAGAAACACACAGUAAUAUUUCAUUAUGUUAAAAUAUCAUGAAAGAAAAUAUCUGUUGAAUCAGGUACAAUAGACUCUGGACAAUGUCAAACCAAGAAAAUGAAUUGUGGUAUUUGCCUGAAGACCAGACACUCAUUCACAGCAACUUUUAAGUAGAUUGUCUGGCUGUAAAUUGUUGGGUCUUUGUACCAUGCCUGUGUCUUCCUUCCUUUGUGUUUGCACAAAGACAAGUAAAUUGAGAGAUGUAGGGUAGGUCCUGCCUAACUAACCUGAUUUCCUUUUAUGAUAAGAUCACCCGUAUGGUGGACCAAGGGAAACCAGCUGAU